UAAUGCGGGAAAUAGUUGUUGAAUGCAAAUCCGCGCGACUGGUCGAUCAGGUGAAACAGCGGGUUCCAGUCGAACCAGGGGAUCAUGAAACCCGGCAGGCUGUUGGCCACGAACAUCUUGCCCGAGGCGAUCAUGUUGGCGCG
rnacentral:ncRNA from 1 species